CAAAUACUCCCUCCGUCCGGAAAUACUUGUCAUCAAAAUGGAUAAAACGAAAUGUAUCUAGACGUAUUUUAGUUUUAGAUACAUCUCUUUUUAUUCAUUUUGAUGACAAGUAUUUUCGGACGGAGGGAGUAGAAA
rnacentral:pre_miRNA from 1 species